AUUGAACGCUGGCGGCAUGCUUUACACAUGCAAGUCGAACGGUAACAGGCCUUCGGGUGCUGACGAGUGGCGAACGGGUGCGUAAUGCAUCGGAACGUACCCAGAGGUGGGGGAUAACGCAGCGAAAGCUGUGCUAAUACCGCAUGUGAUCUGAGGAUGAAAGCGGGGGACCGAGCAGCAAUGUUUGGCCUCGCGCCUUUGGAGCGGCCGAUGUCGGAUUAGCUAGUUGGUGGGGUAAAGGCCUACCAAGGCGACGAUCCGUAGCUGGUCUGAGAGGACGACCAGCCACACUGGGACUGAGACACGGCCCAGACUCCUACGGGAGGCAGCAGUGGGGAAUUUUGGACAAUGGGCGCAAGCCUGAUCCAGCAAGGCCGCGUGCGGGAAGAAGGCCUUCGGGUUGUAAACCGCUUUUGGCAGGAACGAAACGGUGUCCGCUAAUACCGGGCGCUAAUGACGGUACCUGCAGAAUAAGCACCGGCUAACUACGUG
rnacentral:rRNA from 1 species